UCAAGUGAUGAUCAUCAACCUAAUUUUUAAUUACUAUUCUGGUACCUCUUAUGUUAGGCUUCCUUCGGGAUUCCGAUGAAUGUAAUGGACUUCUGACA
rnacentral:snoRNA from 1 species